rnacentral:tRNA from 1 species
GUCUCGGUAGUCUAACCGUAAGAACACCCGCUCGGCAAGCGAGAGAUUUGGGUUCGAUUCCUGACCGAGGUA